GGUUAAAAAAAUUAUUUAUUUGUAUAAUUAAAAAUUAACGUAAUUGACGAAAUAAUUAGUCAAUUACAUGUAGCGUGCCAUAUUUGUCCCACACUGAUGUAAUAGACCAGUUUUUAACAACAGAAAUAGAUGAAAUUUGUAACA
rnacentral:pre_miRNA from 1 species